UUCAGCAGAGUCUUCAAUCAGAGUUAGAUUUGAAUUCUAGCUCUGUUAUACAUUAUAUGGUCAAUAAAAUGACUAAUGUGGAGCUCACGCAGCCCAUGCUUCUAGCAGGUAAAAAUCCUUGUAAAUCCAGUUAUGUAGAAGACAUUUAUUUGUGGCCUUAAAACCCAUUCAUACAAGGAAUACUCAUGUCAAGAAAAGUAAAAGCAAGUAGGUGUGUGACAACAUGCUGUGACCCAGCUCAAGUUGGAUCCAUAUAGCUAUUACUCUGUAUCGUAAGCAGUAACUCUAUGCACUGUUAAAACGGGGCUAAUAACACUACAUUUAACCUCGCUUUUAUGAAGGCCAACAUGACAAAC
rnacentral:lncRNA from 1 species